GCUUAAUAACAGCUGAUAAAGUGAGUAGUCACCAAAACAUCCAGAUAUUUUGUGAGGUAACUUAUGAUCAUUAAAAUGGAAUGUCAAGUUAAGAUAAACAAGCAUUUUUGACACCUCCUUCGAUGAAGAGCCAUUAAACCAACUUUUGCCCGAAAAUUCUCAUCAAACAACAAGGGAACUGACAGAGAAAAUGGAAUACUCCCACACUGCUAUAGAGAAGCAUCUUCACUACAGAAACAUUGAGCAUGCUUUGGCUAGCUUACAGCAACGAGGUAUUGGGUAGUACACAAUGUUUCAAGUGGCACAGCUCAAUCAAGAACAUGCUCAUCAUUUUUACAACAUCUGUGGUAUUGUGCAUCAAGAAUUCAUCCCCUAGGGUCAGACCAUCAAUCAUCAAUCAUUGCAGUUCUGCUGCAAUGUUUUAAAGCAUUUGAGGGAGGACAUUCAUCAAAAGUGACCAGAUCUGUGGAUUGUAAAGAAUUGGUUUCUUCAUGAUGGCAAUGAGCUCUCCUCACUCGUGAUUUUUUUGCCAAAAGAACAUGGUAUCGCUUCUGCAUCUGCACCAUCCUAUUCUCCAGACUUAGCACAUGCAGACUUCUAAUUCUUCUCCAAGAUGAAAAUGCAGAUCAAAGGUUGCUGUUUUAAUACUAUUGCCAAAAUCCAGAGUAAGUCACAAAAGGUCCUCGACUUGCUUACUGAAAAUGACUUCCGGGCAAGAUUCCAAAAGUGUUAGGAAUGCUGGGACCAGUGUAUUACUGUACAAGUUGACUAUUUCAAAUGAGAUGAUGUUAAAACUUAGGUAAAUAAGUUAUCCUUUAUUUAACAUAACUAGUUCAGGAAUUUUUUGAUACCACCUCAUACUAUAGGGCCCAGUACAUUUAUUUGCUUAGAGACCUAUAAUGCUGCAAAGACAGCUCUGAUUGUAGAUGAAAAAUAGAUUAAAAUAAAUGCAAUAAAAAGCCCCAACAAAUUCA